GCAGGUCCUAAGACUCAUCAGAGCAACAACAAAAUCCAUCUCAACAUGGAAGAACAGCACAUCUGGGGAAGCACAAGCCCAGCUAAAACAAGAACAGACUGGAACCUUGUUAUCUUCUUGCUGCUUUGACCCUGGACUGAUUUGACAACUCUGACUUCUGGUAUCCUGGCCUUGGCUUGGCUUUUGGACUGCUCUGACUUCUGCUAUCCUGACCUUGGCUUGGCUUUUGGACUGCUCUGACUUCUGGUAUCCUGACUUCGGCUUAGCUUUUUGGACUGCUCUCACGUUUACUCCUUGCAAGCUUUUCAAGAUGGGCCAUGCUUCAAGCAGCUCUUCAGCAAAUAGCGCAUGAUCCUUUGGUGCCACCUACUGAUAAACAGAGGACAACAUCCUACUAACAGUAACUACCAAAGACGUUAUGAUUGUUGAAGAAAGUGGAGGAAGAAAGUGCAAUGGUUGGUUUAGAGUUGAACAUUAAAAAACCAAACCAAUGACCACAGAUGAUUUACAUAACUUUAAAGCAGAUGAUGAAGGCACUGAGAUAGUUGGAGAUUUUUCAUACUUUGGCUCAAAUCAGAAUGGAGACUGUAGUCAUGAAUACGUGAAUGUAGUGAAGAUUAGGACUCGGAAGGGCAACUAUGAAUGAAAUGUAAAGAUAUAUAAAUGAAUAUUAAAACCACCAUGGUACAGGCAUAGUAUAAGCCAUUGUAUUUUCCAUCUCUAUGUAUAGGCGUGGAAGCUGAACAGUGAAGAAAGGUGAAACAAACAAAAAAUUAACUCAUUUGUAGUGUGAUGCUGGAGAAGU